rnacentral:sRNA from 1 species
UGAGAAGUUCUGGUGGGACUUGGCCAUGGAAUGGAAGGGCCUACCGAGUGCUUGCGAAGCUAAGACUGCUUCCUUUCAGCAUUGUACAAAGAGGCUGCACAGAGCUAAAUACAGACAAAACACCUGCCUAAAAGAGGGAAGAAAUUAAACGGUAAAGGAAAUUAAGUUGAGCAUCCUGACAUACAACUGUAUUCCUUGAGGCAGGAGAAUUGCCGAGAGUUAAGAGGUAAGUCUUAGCCAUACAGGGAGCUCCAGGCUACUGUAGGCUGUCUAGUGAGACCCUGUCAUAGACAGACAAACAAACAAACAAUCAAAAAGACCAAACAAGGAAACAAGAAAGAGGGAGGAAAUGAGCUAAACCGGGUUCUACCUCACUGCACAGAAUCCAAGAAAGUAAGUCCUCCCUCAGGGUGCUGUCUACCUCCAGUGUCACUUCUUACAAAUCUGAUAGUUAAAAACAAAAAAACUGAGGACAGAACCAGGUACGCAGAUGCUUUUAUAUUGUUUGUAGUGCUAUGAGACCAAGUUCAGUCCUUUUGCAUGUGCUAGGCAUGACCCCCCCCCUUUUUUUUUUGCUGUCCUGGAACUCACUUUGUAGAGCAGGGUGGCCUUGAACUCAGAGAGAUCCACCUGCCUCUACUUCUGGGAUGGCAUAAACUGGUUUUGUGAUUAUCAGAAAGAAGAAAAAAGGAGAUGCACAAAGGUUAUAAAACUAGUCUGGGGGUUGGGGAUUUAGCUCAGUGGUAGAGCACUUGCCUAGCAAGCUCAAGGCCCUGGGUUCAGUCCCCAGCUCCAAAAAAAAAAGA